rnacentral:rRNA from 1 species
UACGUAGGGUGCAAGCGUUAAUCGGAAUUACUGGGCGUAAAGCGUGCGCAGGCGGCUUUGCAAGACAGAUGUGAAAUCCCCGGGCUCAACCUGGGAACUGCAUUUGUGACUGCAAGGCUUGAGUUCGGGAGAGGGAUGCGGAAUUCCAGGUGUAGCGGUGAAAUGCGUAGAUAUCUGGAGGAACACCGGUGGCGAAGGCGGCAUCCUGGACCGACACUGACGCUGAGGAGCGAAAGCCAGGGGAGCAAACGGG